rnacentral:rRNA from 1 species
CCUACGGGCGGCAGCAGUGAGGAAUAUUGGUCAAUGGACGAGAGUCUGAACCAGCCAAGUAGCGUGAAGGAUGACUGCCCUAUGGGUUGUAAACUUCUUUUAUAUGGGAAUAAAACAGGGUAUGCAUACCCUCUUGUAUGUACCCUAUGAAUAAGGAUCGGCUAACUCCGUGCCAGCAGCCGCGGUAAUACGGAGGGUCCGAGCGUUAUCCGGAUUUAUUUGGUUUAAAGGGUGCGUAGGUGGAUUUUUAAGUCCGUUGUGAAAGUUUGCGGGUCAACCGUGAAAGUGCAGUUGAAACUGGCGGUCUUGAGUACAUUAGAGGUAGGCGGAAUGCGUGGUGUCGCGGUGAAAUGCUUAGAUAUCACGAAGAACUCCGAUUGCGAAGGCAGCUCACUGGAGCGCGACUGACACUGAUGCUCGAAAGUGUGGGUAUCAAACAGGAUUAGAUACCCGAGUAGUC